rnacentral:rRNA from 1 species
GACGAACGCUGGCGGCGUGCUUAACACAUGCAAGUCGAGCGGUAAGGCCCCUUCGGGGGUACACGAGCGGCGAACGGGUGAGUAACACGUGAGCAAUCUGCCCAUCACAUCGGGAUAACUUCGGGAAACCGGAGCUAAUACCGAAUACGACCACCUCCGGCAUCGGAUGGUGGUGGAAAGCUCCGGCGGUGAUGGAUGAGCUCGCGGCCUAUCAGCUUGUUGGUGGGGUAACGGCCCACCAAGGCUUCGACGGGUAGUCGGCCUGAGAGGGUGACCGGCCACACUGGGACUGAGACACGGCCCAGACUCCUACGGGAGGCAGCAGUGGGGAAUAUUGGACAAUGGGCGAAAGCCUGAUCCAGCAACGCCGCGUGAGGGAUGACGGCCUUCGGGUUGUAAACCUCUUUCAGCAGGGACGAAGCGCAAGUGACGGUACCUGCAGAAGAAGCACCGGCCAACUACGUGCCAGCCGCCGCGGUAAUAC